rnacentral:tRNA from 1 species
GUCUCUGUGGUGCAAUCGGUUAGCGCGUUCGGCUGUUAAAGAAAAAGUUUGGUGGUUCUAGCCCACCCAGGGACG